UGGGUAAAUAAAUGCAGCGGGCUUGUUUAUCACUUGUCGUUCCAUUCAGCUGAUAAUAAUCAUAACAUAUGAGCAUUCGGAACUAUUCAUUCACACACUCGAGCUGACUGGAUGGUCAGUUUAACUGGAAGGCAUCUUCUGUCAGUUGUAGCGAAAAAAAGUGCGGCAAGAUUUGCAUAAUUUAGCAAAUGAUUGUGCGACGUCUGUUGCUCGAUUUGAGAGCUUCACCGGACAGAAUUGCACCAGUUGCAUCCUAGCUGUGCUGUAUCUCGAUAGUAGCAAUCGUAUUAUUUAGUUGCAGUGUGCUAGUUUAAUACGUGAAGAGGUUUUAUUUACGACUUGAAUGUUAUGAUGAGCUUUUUCCUACCGGUGCGGUCCGUCCUCCCACAUUGGCUGACGAUUGAGUGUCGGAAGGUUCAAGUGCAAGAACGACACUGUUCACGACUUUGCACAGUUCAGUGCAUUUGCCAAACACGAAACAUUAAUUUAUUCGUUAAUUAUUUGUUCAUAACAGCUGUGGAAAGUGUUGUUUUAUUUGUAUCUUGGAUGUUUUAUAGUCGGUUCGUUGGCACGUGAUAAAAUUUCUGAUAAUCUUUCAUGACACUUUGUUAAUAACACUUUCGCCACGGCACUGUUGCUUUUUCAAGAUCGACGACAGACGAUGCUUGUCGCCGCAUCUCCGUAUUAUUGGAAUAUUUUGAUUGAAAACUAUGAAAUUAAAAAGCAGUGAAUUUCCAUAUGCAAAGAUGUGAGUUCAAUUAAACGGAAACUCCGUAUAGCGUUAAUUGCGGAAUGUAUUUCGUUCGAUACUGAGCUAAUAAUUUAUAACAAUAAAACUUUAGAGUUGAAGGAUGUCUUUUGUCGUAAAAUCCAACGAGAUGUACACGCGCUUUGUUUAAUCGGAUGAUGUCUGAGAUUUGGUUUCCUUAGAGCAAAUUCAGCAGCUGGAAGUUUUAUACGCAACUGCAAACAAUGUACAACAAAGCGCAUCUACAGCAACUAGCAACGAAAUCAACAACAAUACCACCGAUGCGGCAAUGGAUGACGAGACGAACCACGAACGAAGUGCCCCUCAAUCCUCGCAGGAGGAAAAUGGAAGCUCCUUUCCCCCUAGAAAAAGGGUGACAACGAGAUCCAAUACAAAAAAAAAUCUUUUAUUUAAAAACUCAGCUAAAUCGGCCACGUAAAGCUUGUACGCAAAUAGGCCUGAAUAAAAUAUCUUUUAAAUAAAAAAAAAAAUAGA